rnacentral:rRNA from 1 species
UACGUAGGGUGCGAGCGUUGCCCGGAUUUAUUGGGCGUAGAGGGCGCGUAGGCGGCCACGCACGUCCGUUGUGAAAUCGCCCGGCUCAACUGGGCGGGGUCAGCGGAUACGGUGUGGCUCGAGCAAGCUAGGGGGCAAUGGAAUUCCCGGUGUAGUGGUGGAAUGCGUAGAUAUCGGGAGGAACACCAGUGGCGAAGGCGGUUGCCUGGAGCUUUGCUGACGCUGAGGCGCGAAAGCGUGGGGAGCGAUCCGG